rnacentral:lncRNA from 1 species
ACAGAAACACUGAUAGCAGGGCAGCUCUGUAAAACAGUUUGGAAUGAUGCAACAAGAAGGAUGCUGCCAAAGCUGGAAAGUGGUGUGAAAACAUCAUAUUCAAACAGAGGAAUCUAAAGGCUAGAGAUUUUCAGAUAACGUUGCGGGAUUGAUGUAAUUCAGAUGAAGGACAUGGCUAACCAUCUCUUGAAUCUGCACUGCGAGUGUAUCAGUCUUACAAGGCUUUUCAGAGUGGUCUCUCUAAGGCACUGA